GACGAACGCUGGCGGCGUGCUUAACACAUGCAAGUCGAACGGUGAAGCUCGGAUUUCCUGGGGUGACUGAGUGGCGACCGGGUGAGUCAUACGCGUGCAAUCUGCCCCAGACUCUGGAAUUAGCGCUGGUAACGGCGACUAACACUGGAUACGAGAAGGGUCCGCAUGGGCUCUUUCUGGAUCUGUUUUCGGUUGGGGAUGGGCUCGCGGCUUCUCAGCUUGUUGGUGAGGUCUUGGCUCACCAAGGCGACGACGGGUCGCCGGCCUGAGAGGGCGACCGGCCACGCUGGGACUGAGACACGGCACAGACUCCUACGGUAGGCAGCAGAGGAGAAUAUUACACAGGGGGCGGGAGCCUGAUGCGGCGACGCCACGUGGGGGAUGACGGCCUUCGGGUUGGAAACCACAGUCAGCAGGGAAGAAGCGAAAGUGACGGUACCGGCAGAAGAAGCACCGGCUAACUACGUG
rnacentral:rRNA from 1 species